CCUACGGGGGGCUGCAGUGAGGAAUAUUGGUCAAUGGGCGCGAGCCUGAACCAGCCAAGUAGCGUGAAGGAUGACUGCCCUACGGGUUGUAAACUUCUUUUAUAAAGGAAUAAAGUGAGGCACGUGUGCCUUUUUGUCUGUACUUUAUGAAUAAGGAUCGGCUAACUCCGUGCCAGCAGCCGCGGUAAUACGGAGGAUACGAGCGUUAUCCGGAUUUAUUGGGUUUAAAGGGAGAGUAGGUGGAUUGUUAAGUCAGUUGUGAAAGUUUGCGGCUCAACCAUAAAAUUGCAGUUGAAACUGGCAGUCUUGAGUACAGUAGAGGUGGGCGGAAGUCGUGGUGUAGCGGUGAAAUGCUUAGAUAUCACGAAGAACUCCGAUGGCGAAGGCAGCUCACUGGACUGCAACUGACACUGAGGCUCGAAAGUGUGGGUAUCAAACAGGAUUAGAUACCCCAGUAGUC
rnacentral:rRNA from 1 species